UCAAUUUCACAGUAGUUAGAAUAGCUGCUUGACCCCACAGGCCUGAGAGGGGAGGUAGGAUUCAAGGAAGCUGGAGAGUGAGCCCAGCAGGGGCAUGUCCUAAAAACCCCGAGAAGGUAUUGGAGUGCCCGGCUGGGGUGUGGGUGUCAGCUGGGGGUGGAGGCGGGCGUGCCCUCCCGAGGGUGUUUUGCUGGGGGUUCCUCUGCUGAGUGGGCCCGUCCUUGGUGAUUGUCCCUGGUGCACGGCUGGCUUGUUAAGCAGGGGCGAAGCGUGCACAAGGUCACCUUUCUCCAGCAUCCUCAUCUUCAUGGUCUCGCUGGGAGAGUGGCCGGGGGUGCCUGAAUCAAGGGAACUAGAACAGGUGCUGAAGCUGUUCCCACUCGCAGGAGGAAGAGCAGCAUCUGGCCCCAGACAGGGGGAGCUGGGGAGUCCUCAGGGCCCUUCGGGGCCUCCCUAGACAGGGGAAGCCGGGGAGUCCUCGGGGCCCUUCGGGGCCUCCCCAGAACUGUGCUCGUUGGUGGCAUCCACAGGCUGCUCCUCUGGGAGCUUGUUGCUUUUCGGGUCCUGAGCCCUCCCGCCUGCCACCGUGGCGUCAGGGAAACUGGUGCCUCCCAAGCACCCCCAGCUCUUCUGCAUGAGAAGGUUGGAGACUGUGCUGCAGCCGGGGUUCUUAUGAUCACCUUCCUCCCUCGCCAGCAUCUGCCCUGGAGCUGAACGAGGACCACCAGGCUCCUCAGGGCCUGUCUCCGUGGGGCACCAGGAGGCGCAAAUGCCAGUUUGCAUCAUUGCC
rnacentral:lncRNA from 1 species